rnacentral:rRNA from 1 species
CUUAUUUGAUUUUCUUCGGAACUGAAGAUUUGGUGAUUGAGUGGCGGACGGGUGAGUAACGCGUGGGUAACCUACCUUGUACAGGGGGAUAACAGUCAGAAAUGACUGCUAAUACCGCAUAAGACCACAGCACCGCAUGGUGCAGGGGUAAAAACUCCGGUGGUACAGGAUGGACCCGCGUCUGAUUAGCUGGUUGGUGAGGUAACGGCUCACCAAGGCGACGAUCAGUAGCCGGCUUGAGAGAGUGAACGGCCACAUUGGGACUGAGACACGGCCCAAACUCCUACGGGAGGCAGCAGUGGGGAAUAUUGCACAAUGGGGGGAACCCUGAUGCAGCGACGCCGCGUGAGUGAAGAAGUAUCUCGGUAUGUAAAGCUCUAUCAGCAGGGAAGAAAAUGACGGUACCUGACUAAGAAGCCCCGGCUAACUACGUGCCAGCAGCCGCGGUAAUACGUAGGGGGCAAGCGUUAUCCGGAAUUACUGGGUGUAAAGGGUGCGUAGGUGGUAUGGCAAGUCAGAAGUGAAAACCCAGGGCUUAACUCUGGGACUGCUUUUGAAACUGUCAGACUGGAGUGCAGGAGAGGUAAGCGGAAUUCCUAGUGUAGCGGUGAAAUGCGUAGAUAUUAGGAGGAACA